UUACGCUGUUAUCCCUAAGGUAAUUUAUUUUAAAAUUCAAAUUUUUAGGUUUAUAAAUUCAUUAAUUUAUGUUUGAUUAUUUUAAAAGUUUAUAAAAUUAAAAAAUUACCCCAAUUAAAUAUUAAUUAAAAUUUAUAUUAUUAAUAAUUAUAAUUUUAAUUUUAAUUAAUAUAAAAUUCUAAAGGGUCUUCUCGUCUUUUAAUAAUAUUUAAGAAUUUUAACUUAAAUUUUAAUUUUAAUUUAACAUUUUAUUUAUAAAGUUUAUAUUUCAUUUAAUCUUUCAUUCUAGUUUUUAAUUAAAAAACUAAUUAUUAUGCUACCUUUGUACAGUUAUUGAUACUGCAGCCAUUUAAAAUUUCAGUGGGCAGAUUAGACUUAAAAUUAUUUUCAAUCAGACAUGUUUUUGUUAAACAGGCG
rnacentral:rRNA from 1 species